AGAUCAAUGUUCUCCUGUUGUUAUUUUACCCUCUGGUACUGAUAGACGUAGGAAAUAUCAUCGGGCGUCUUUCCAUACUACAUUCAUUUUGAAUCGAACUGAUUUUAAUUGUUUCUCUGACAGGCUUCUCAGAGUGCUCCCGUCGAAGUAGUUUAUGAAAAAGAGGGAUUCUUGCAGAAGAAAGAAGGAAGCUGGAGAAAAAGGUGGUUCUUAUUGAAAGACAGACACCUAAAGUAUGCUAGAGGGCCGCAUGACAAGGACGAUCUUGUUACGAUUGACCUUAGAACAGUGACGUCACUGGUGAGAUCUCCUAAGGGAGAGCUGUUGCAACUGGACAUUGUUACUCU